AACGAACGCUGGCGGCAUGCCUAACACAUGCGAGUCGAACGAGACCUUCGGGUCUAGUGGCGCACGGGUGCGUAACGCGUGGGAACCUGCCCUUAGGUUCGGAAUAACUCCCCGAAAGGGGUGCUAAUACCGGAUAAUGUCUUCGGACCAAAGAUUUAUCGCCUUUGGAUGGGCCCGCGUUGGAUUAGCUAGUUGGUAGGGUAAAAGCCUACCAAGGCGACGAUCCAUAGCUGGUCUGAGAGGAUGAUCAGCCACACUGGGACUGAGACACGGCCCAGACUCCUACGGGAGGCAGCAGUGGGGAAUAUUGGACAAUGGGCGAAAGCCUGAUCCAGCAAUGCCGCGUGAGUGAUGAAGGCCUUAGGGUUGUAAAGCUCUUUUACCCGGGAUGAUAAUGACAGUACCGGGAGAAUAAGCUCCAGCUAACUCCGUG
rnacentral:rRNA from 1 species